rnacentral:sRNA from 1 species
GGGCGUGUAUGGUGGACAACCACAAGGUGCUCCUUAUGGAAGUCAACCUCAAGCAGCGGCCUACGGAAGUCAACCACAACCUGUAGGUCUACGUUGUUUUUUUUUUUGUCGUCUAAUAAUUAAAUAAGUUUGUAAAAGAGA